UGGGGAAUAUUGGGCAAUGGGGGCAACCCUGACCCAGCGACGCCGCGUGGGGGAAGACGGCCUUCGGGUUGUAAACCUCUUUUGUACGGGAAGAAGGAAGUGACGGUACUGUACGAAUAAGUCCCGGCUAACUACGUGCCAGCAGCCGCGGUAAUACGUAGGGGACGAGCGUUGUCCGGAAUUACUGGGCGUAAAGGGCGCGCAGGCUGUGCUGCAAGUCGGCUGUUAAAUGUCUGGGCUUAACCCGGGCAUGCGGUUGAGACUGCAGUGCUGGAGUGCUGUAGAGGCAAGUGGAAUUCCCAGUGUAGCGGUGAAAUGCGUAGAUAUUGGGAAGAACACCGGUGGCGAAGGCGACUUGCUGGGCAACAACUGACGCUGAGGCGCGAAAGCCAGGGGAGCAAACGG
rnacentral:rRNA from 1 species